ACGGUCUUGCUGUCACUUAUAGAUGGAUCCGCGCUGCAUUAGCUAGUUGGUAAGGUAACGGCUUACCAAGGCAACGAUGCAUAGCCGACCUGAGAGGGUGAUCGGCCACACUGGAACUGAGACACGGUCCAGACUCCUACGGGAGGCAGCAGUAGGGAAUCUUCCGCAAUGGGCGAAAGCCUGACGGAGCAACGCCGCGUGAGUGAUGAAGGUCUUCGGAUCGUAAAACUCUGUUAUUAGGGAAGAACAUAUGUGUAAGUAACUGUGCACAUCUUGACGGUACCUAAUCAGAAAGCCACGGCUAACUACGUGCCAGCAGCCGCGGUAAUACGUAGGUGGCAAGCGUUAUCCGGAAUUAUUGGGCGUAAAGCGCGCGUAGGCGGUUUUUUAAGUCUGAUGUGAAAGCCCACGGCUCAACCGUGGAGGGUCAUUGGAAACUGGAAAACUUGAGUGCAGAAGAGGAGAGUGGAAUUCCAUGUGUAGCGGUGAAAUGCGCAGAGAUAUGGAGGAACACCAGUGGCGAA
rnacentral:rRNA from 1 species